GAGAAAAGAGAGAUGCCUUCCGAAGUUUCUUUCAUUUCCAGUUGCAUGUCUGUGGCCAUGGAAAAACUUCUUGCAUAUAAAAUCAAAGAGCUACAAAAAGUUCUGAACCGUAUUUACUGAGAAGCCCAUCUAUAACAUCUCCAUAAUUUCAGAGUUUUGAAGCUACUUCCAAACAAUUGGUACCCAAAAAAGGAAGGCAAUGUCUAUGGUCAUUUGCACAAAGGGCUGCCUCUGAGAUUACCUGCUUUUCUCGAUCAAGGAAAUGUUAUCUGCCUCCACACUUCCAACCUGGCCGGUUAUCAUCAUCGAGUUUCCAGCACAAAAUACCUUUAAGUGGAGUCUUACUCCAAUCAACAUGCACAGCGCCUGCCAACACAGCUGGAAGUUCUGCAAGUGCAUCCUCUCUGGUUCUGAGAGGACUUUCUGAAAGACAGAUUUUAGUCCCAGUUUGUAACCAAGAAAACAGAAAUCUGAAUUGAUUGUCCAAAGGUUUCCAUUGGACCCUGUUGCCGCUUCAUUAUUCAGAAAAUACUCAGGUAUUUGGAUGAUAAAACAAUUAUUUAUAAUUUUAAU
rnacentral:lncRNA from 1 species